UACGAAGGGGGCUAGCGUUGCUCGGAAUCACUGGGCGUAAAGCGCACGUAGGCGGAUUUUUAAGUCAGGGGUGAAAUCCUGGAGCUCAACUCCAGAACUGCCUUUGAUACUGGGAAUCUCGAGUCCGGGAGAGGUGAGUGGAACUCCGAGUGUAGAGGUGAAAUUCGUAGAUAUUCGGAAGAACACCAGUGGCGAAGGCGGCUCACUGGUCCGGUACUGACGCUGAGGUGCGAAAGCGUGGGGAGCAAACAGG
rnacentral:rRNA from 1 species